rnacentral:rRNA from 1 species
GAUGAACGCUAGCGGCAGGCCUAAUACAUGCAAGUCGAACGGUGUCUUCGGACAUAGUGGCGCACGGGUGCGUAACACGUAUGCAACCUACCUUACAUUGGGGGAUAGCCUUUCGAAAGGGAGAUUAAUACCGCAUAAGACAGUAGCUGGGCAUCCAGCAGCUGUUAAAGAUUUAUCGAUGUAAGCUGGGCAUGCGUCCAAUUAGCUAGUUGGUGAGGUAACGGCUCACCAAGGCAAUGAUUGGUAGGGGAACUGAGAGGUCAAUCCCCCACACUGGCACUGAGAUACGGGCCAGACUCCUACGGGAGGCAGCAGUAUGGAAUAGUGGGCAGUGGACGCAAGUCUGACCCAGCCAUGCCGCGUGCAGGAUGAAGGCGUUAUGCGUUGUAAACUGCUUUUAUACAGGAAGAAACGACUCUUGCGAGAGGCAUUGACGGUACUGUAUGAAUAAGCACCGGCUAACUCCGUGCCAGCCGCCGCCGUAAGAC